UACGGAGGGUGCAAGCGUUGUUCGGAAUUAUUGGGCGUAAAGAGCUCGUAGGCGGCUUGUCACGUCGAUUGUGAAAGCCCGAGGCUUAACCUCGGGUCUGCAGUCGAUACGGGCUAGCUAGAGUGUGGUAGGGGAGAUCGGAAUUCCUGGUGUAGCGGUGAAAUGCGCAGAUAUCAGGAGGAACACCGAUGGCGAAGGCAGGUCUCUGGGCAUUAACUGACGCUGAGGAGCGAAAGCAUGGGGAGCGAACAGG
rnacentral:rRNA from 1 species